rnacentral:misc_RNA from 1 species
UCGAAAUUAUAGGCGAGGGUUGUUGCUGGCCUCACGGGGCAAUGUGCACGUCCGAGCCAUUAAUCCACACACACCUGUGAACCUAUUGUGAGGGCCCGUGAAAAAGGCCCCCACGUCUUUAUAUCAUAUAACCCUGUCUUACAGAAUGUAAAAUCUACGUCUUCGGACAAAGAAACUCUAUA